CGGGGCGGAGGAGGAAGGGGAGGCUGCAGCACCAGCCCAGCCCCAAACGCUGGGUUGGAACUUACCGACUGUGCGUUUUAAUUCUGUCUCAUUUUCCCGGCCGGGAGCCCAGCAUGGUAUUUGUAAGUUGAAGAGCGUUUGAAAACGCAAACACAGAAUUGUAUAAUACAUAUUAGCUCACAGCGUAAAGAUUGCAUGGAACUUAAACUGACUGAACUGUAAAGAACAAAAAAGACGUUUCAGGUUUUAACUCGGUGUGGCCACCUCCCCGGCCCUCAUGUGCUGGGGAACUGGAGGUUGCAGUGAUGCAAACAGUGAGAAGACAAUGAACAUCGCUAUGCACCCACACGUCCGGCCGCGAACGUUCUGACGAGAGCCAGCCGGUUUUUGGAAGGGCCGAGGUGACCCGAAUUCAGGAACAGGGAGACCCGGGCAUGAUGGCGUCCCGCCCUACCAUGAGACCUGCCGGGGCUGUCUUUGUCCUGGCUGCUUCCUGCAGCUGGGCCUGCCUCGGGGCUGCAGCGAGGCUGGCGGUCAGCAGUGUCCCUGCCACUGGCCAAGGCAGACCCCACCGUGUCUGCUGAGAAGCAGCCCUUCCCGCACCCAAGGUCUAGGCCUCUGGGAGGCAGCUAACCAUUCACACAGCAGAGCUGAUAAACGUGUCAGUGUCUGCCAGAAGCCAAGUUGGUUCCCGUAUACAGAUGACAUAUUUGCAUUUUAAUUGGCUCUUCUGUGGACUCUAAACCUAGUUCCAAAGGAGGACAGCUAAGGCUGGGAAUUUCAAAUAUGCAGCAGAUGCUAAUGGGAGAGGAGUUGCAUAGCCAGACUCUUUUGAGAGAUCUCAAGUGACAGCACCUAGGCAUGGCUACUUCAUCUUUUUCUUUGCAUAAGGAUAAUUCUUCCAAUGGAAGCAGAGUCCUGCAAUAAUUGGAGAUCCUGGAUCCCACUGACUCUCCUAAUAAGAAGGAACAGAAAAUGAAAGUGUGAAGCAUGGAGCUGCAGCAGCCAUCUUAGGACCAUGAGGGGAGCUGACCUAUGACAUUGAAGGGGACAGGCCAGUACACUGAAGAUGAAAUGGCAAGAACUUAAGUCCUUGAUGACCCAAUUUGACUGGCUCCCACUUAGAGAAUCUUUGCAUCCUGAAGGACAAUCUACUUGUUUCCACUUGGACAGCUUGAUGAGGAAGAGAACGAACUCCUGGAAAGCUCAUACUCACAGCCAAGGAGAGCCAAGUGAAAAGUUGGUUCCAUUUUCCCCAGAGAGUAACAGUUCAUUUAAUUCCAGCAAUAAACUGGCUCCAGGGAGAAAGGACUGUUUAAAGGUCUGUGUCAAUUACACAGUGAUUAUGAAAUUCAUGAUAUGACUAAUCCAGUGGCUGAACCUGUGAUUAUCUGAUAUAAUCCAAGAAUAUAAGUGUAACACACUCUUUUCCUCCCAUUAAAGAGAAGUCAGUUAGUGCUACAUUCCAGAUGACUUCUCUCCUUUCCUAUCUCUUCUCUCUGUGAAAGAGUAAAUGUUUAUCAAAUGGUUUCUGAAUUAAACUCAGUGUCCUGGAAGCUAUAAGGGCUAUUUUUCUUGGAUGGCUCAAGGUCUGGGAACUCCAGUAUGUUGAUUUAUAUAAUUUGAAGUACCAUAAAUGCCUUUGACCUUGAAGACUUCCUUUUAAUGAUUUGCAUAUCCUUGCCAAUGAUUAGACUACAGGCCAUCAUGACAAGCCUGUAACUUCCUGGAGAACUCCUUCUUUAUUUAUUUUUGGACAUUUUAUAAUUUUUUUUUCUCUUAAUGCUUUGUAAAUAGUAACUAAAACCCAUUUGUAACAAGCACCUAUAAACGUACCGGCUUUUAAAAUCAGGAGGUAAAAAAUUAUUGCCCAAGCUCUGAGGUCAUUGAUUGUUUUUGGAGAGAAGUCUAUGACAAUCUCUGAAAGCCUGCCAUCUCUCAGACCCUUUCAGAGAAAAAUGUUUGUGGUUCCUAUGCACUGGGGGCUAUGUUUUGGGUCCUGUGGCCACGCUUCCUUGGCCAAAGCUGAUUGGACCAAGGAUUGGCACGUGAUUCAAAAGUUGUCCUUUAUAGGCUAGACAGCAGCCAAUGAGAUGUCCUGAUACAAGAGCUUGGCAGAAAAGGAGGAACUUCUGCAGGAUGGUGUCUGGCUGACUCGGACUGUGAGACGUGCUGAGGUAAUUAGUAAGAAAAAAGAGGAAGGAGAGACAGUCAUGAUAUCGGUGGAAGUCUAGAGUCGCAAGCAAAAGACAUCUGUUGUUGAGAGGCCAGCAUGAUAACCAGGUAUCUGUGUUGUAUCCCAAAUGCCAGUUGGUUUUCUUAUCUCCUAUUCUCUCACUUCUCCAUGUAACUUUAUAGUAAGCCCCCAGACUGAGGAAACAUGAUUAGAACUCUGUUUCUGGCCCCCACCCCGUAUGUCCAUAUCCUGACACCCAGCACCUGUGAAUGUUACUUUAUAGGGCAAAAGGGACUUUGAAGAUGCGAUGAAAGAUUUUGAGAUGGACAGACUGUCCUGGAUUUUCCGGUUGGGCUCGGUGUAAUCCCAAGUGUCCACAUAAGAAGGAAGCAGGAGGGUCGGAGUCAGUAGUAGGGGUUGUGACCAUGGAAACAAGAGGUUGAAGUGAUGUGAGGAAGGGGCCAGGAGGCAAAGAAUGCAGGCACCCUGGAAAAGCUGAAAAAAGCAAGGAAGCAUAUUCUCUCCUGAAAGUUCCAGAAGGAGCCAGUCCUCAGGACAUUUGGCUAAACCCCAGUGAAACUGACUUCAGACUUCUGAUGUCCAAAACUAUAAGAUAAUAUCAAUAAAUCUGUGUUGUUUUAAGUCA